rnacentral:rRNA from 1 species
AAAGGUAUCUAGUUCUUUAAGAAAUAAAUUUAAUUUAUAAAUUUUAUAUUAUUUAAUUUAAUGUAUUAAUUAAAUAAUUAUUUAAUUUUAAUAUUUUAUGGGAUAAGCUAUAAAAUAAAUUUUUAUAAAUUAUUAAAUAAAUUGAUAAAUAUAAACUUAGAAAUAGUUAUUGUUAAUAAAAAUGUUAUAAUUUAUUUUUUAUAUUAUAUUAUUUAUUUAUAUUUUAAAAUUUUUAUUAAAGUAUUUAUUUUAAUAUUAAAAAUAAAAUAAUAAUGAUAAAAUUAGUAUAUUUAUAUUGUAUAAAUAAAUUUAAUUGAUAAGUUUUUAUAAAGAACUCGGCAAAAAUAAUAUUCGCCUGUUUAACAAAAACAUGUCUUUAUGUAUUAUAUUUAAAGUCUAACCUGCCCACUGAAUUAAAUUUAAAUGGCCGCAGUAUUUUGACUGUGCAAAGGUAGCAUAAUCAUUAGUCUUUUAAUUGAAGGCUAGAAUGAAUGGUUGGACGAAAUAUUAACUGUUUCAUUAAAAUUUUUAUUAGAAUUUUAUUUUUUAGUUAAAAAGCUAAAAUUUAUUUAAAAGACGAGAAGACCCUAUAAAUCUUUAUAUUUAAAUUAUUGUAAUUUUUUAGAAAUAUUUUAUUAUUAUAAUUGAUAAUAUUUUAUUGGGGUGAUAUUAAAAUUUAAUAAACUUUUAAUUUAUAUUUACAUUGAUUUAUGAAUAAAUGAUCCGUUAUUAACGAUUAAAAAAAUAAGUUACUUUAGGGAUAACAGCGUAAUUUUUUUGGAGAGUUCAUAUCGAUAAAAAAGAUUGCGACCUCGAUGUUGGAUUAAGAUAUAAUUUUAGGUGUAGCUGCUUAAAUUUUAAGUCUGUUCGACUUUUAAAUUCUUACAUGAUCUGAGUUCAAACCGGUGUAAGCCAGGUUGGUUUCUAUCUUUAAAUUAUUAAAAUAUUUUAGUACGAAAGGACCUAAUAUUUGAUAAAUUAUUAUUUAUAAAUUGAAUAUAAUUAAUAUA